GAUGAACGCUAGCGGCAGGCUUAACACAUGCAAGUCGAGGGGUAACAGGGAAGAGCUUGCUUUUCCGCUGACGACCGGCGCACGGGUGAGUAACGCGUAUAGAACCUACCUUUUACAGGGGAAUAGCCCAGAGAAAUUUGGAUUAAUGCCCUAUAGUAUUAUUGAAUGGCAUCAUUUAGUAAUUAAACAUUUAUGGGUAAAAGAUGGCUAUGCGUUCUAUUAGCUAGAUGGUAAGGUAACGGCUUACCAUGGCAACGAUAGAUAGGGGUCCUGAGAGGGAGAUCCCCCACACUGGUACUGAGACACGGACCAGACUCCUACGGGAGGCAGCAGUGAGGAAUAUUGGACAAUGGAGGCAACUCUGAUCCAGCCAUGCCGCGUGCAGGAAGACGGCCCUAUGGGUUGUAAACUGCUUUUAUACGGGAAGAAACCCAACUACGUGUAGUUGGCUGACGGUACCGUAAGAAUAAGCACCGGCUAACUCCGUGCCAGCAGCCGCGGUAAUACGGAGGGUGCAAGCGUUAUCCGGAAUCAUUGGGUUUAAAGGGUCCGUAGGCGGGCUAAUAAGUCAGGGGUGAAAUCCAACAGCUUAACUGUUGAACUGCCUUUGAUACUGUUAGUCUUGAAUUAUAUGGAAGUAGAUAGAAUGUGUAGUGUAGCGGUGAAAUGCUUAGAGAUUACACAGAAUACCGAUUGCGAAGGCAGUCUACUAC
rnacentral:rRNA from 1 species